CUGGAGGGUAAAAAUAGUAGCAUUACCCAGAGCAAACCCAAAGCAAAAAUAGUACUUUUAGCCUUGUGGACGAGGCUCGAUAGAAAAGUUAUUGCUCCUUUAGCCUUCUUUGAGAAUAGAAUAACUUUUUUUUUGAAAAAUUUAUACCUUGCAGUGUAUGUACAAAUGUUAAUUUGUAGUUUACUAUGUAAAAAUGCCGUUAUCUCCACUGCAUGGUCGGGAAACUUCGUGAUUUGGCUGAAGCUAAGAAAAGUCUUAAUACUCGGAAAUAGGAUGUAUUAAAAGUCUACGAAAAACUAUUUUCAGUUAUUAUUUCAAAAUCAUACUCUAGUAGUGAAGUGAGUUUGUUUAUAGCCGAU